rnacentral:rRNA from 1 species
UACGGAGGAUGCGAGCGUUAUCCGGAUUUAUUGGGUUUAAAGGGUGCGUAGGCGGGAUGCCAAGUCAGCGGUAAAAAUGCGGUGCUCGACGCCGUCGAGCCGUUGAAACUGGCGUUCUUGAGUGGGCGAGAAGUAUGCGGAAUGCGUGGUGUAGCGGUGAAAUGCAUAGAUAUCACGCAGAACUCCGAUUGCGAAGGCAGCAUACCGGCGCCCUACUGACGCUGAGGCACGAAAGCGUGGGUAUCGAACAGG